rnacentral:rRNA from 1 species
CCUACGGGCGGCAGCAGUGGGGAAUAUUGCACAAUGGGCGCAAGCCUGAUGCAGCGACGCCGCGUGAGGGAUGGAGGCCUUCGGGUUGUAAACCUCUUUCGCCAGUGAAGCAGGCCUGUCCCUUUUGUGGGUGGGUUGACGGUAGCUGGAUAAGAAGCGCCGGCUAACUACGUGCCAGCAGCCGCGGUAAUACGUAGGGCGCGAGCGUUGUCCGGAAUUAUUGGGCGUAAAGAGCUCGUAGGCGGCUGGUCGCGUCUGUCGUGAAAUCCUCUGGCUUAACUGGGGGCUUGCGGUGGGUACGGGCCGGCUUGAGUGCGGUAGGGGAGACUGGAACUCCUGGUGUAGCGGUGGAAUGCGCAGAUAUCAGGAAGAACACCGGUGGCGAAGGCGGGUCUCUGGGCCGUUACUGACGCUGAGGAGCGAAAGCGUGGGGAGCGAACAGGAUUAGAUACCCGUGUAGUC